rnacentral:rRNA from 1 species
GAGUUUGAUCCUGGCUCAGAACGAACGCUGGCGGCAUGCCUAACACAUGCAAGUCGAACGAACCCUUCGGGGUUAGUGGCGCACGGGUGCGUAACGCGUGGGAACCUGCCUUUAGGUUCGGAAUAACUCAGAGAAAUUUGAGCUAAUACCGGAUAAUGUCUUCGGACCAAAGAUUUAUCGCCUUUAGAUGGGCCCGCGUUAGAUUAGAUAGUUGGUGGGGUAAUGGCCUACCAAGUCGACGAUCUAUAGCUGGUCUGAGAGGAUGAUCAGCCACACUGGGACUGAGACACGGCCCAGACUCCUACGGGAGGCAGCAGUGGGGAAUAUUGGACAAUGGGCGAAAGCCUGAUCCAGCAAUGCCGCGUGAGUGAUGAAGGCCUUAGGGUUGUAAAGCUCUUUUACCAGGGAUGAUAAUGACAGUACCUGGAGAAUAAGCUCCGGCUAACUCCGUGCCAGCAGCCGCGGUAAUACGGAGGGAGCUAGCGUUGUUCGGAAUUACUGGGCGUAAAGCGCGCGUAGGCGGCUUUCUAAGUCAGGGGUGAAAUCCCGGGGCUCAACCCCGGAACUGCCCUUGAAACUGGAUGGCUAGAAUACUGGAGAGGUGAGUGGAAUUCCGAGUGUAGAGGUGAAAUUCGUAGAUAUUCGGAAGAACACCAGUGGCGAAGGCGACUCACUGGACAGUUAUUGACGCUGAGGUGGCGAAAGCGUGUGAGCAAACAGGAUUAGAUACCCUGGUAGUCCACGCCGUAAACGAUGAUAACUAGCUGUCCGGGCUCAUAGAGCUUGGGUGGCGCAGCUAACGCAUUAAGUUAUCCGCCUGGGGAGUACGGUCGCACGAUUAAAACUCAAAGGAAUUGACGGGGGCCCGCACAAGCGGUGGAGCAUGUGGUUUAAUUCGAUGCAACGCGAAGAACCUUACCUGGGCUUGAACUGUGCAGGAAACUUUCUGAAAGGGAAGCCUCCUUCGGGACUUGUACAGAGGUGCUGCAUGGCUGUCGUCAGCUCGUGUCGUGAGAUGUUGGGUUAAGUCCUGUAACGAGCGCAACCCCUGCCGUUAGUUGCCAUCAGAUAAUGCUGGGCACUCUAGCGGGACUGCCGGAGUUAAUCCGGAGGAAGGCGGGGAUGACGUCAAGUCCUCAUGGCCCUUACGUCCAGGGCUACACACGUGCUACAAUGGGCGGUACAAUGAGUCGCAAUACCGCGAGGUGGAGCUAAUCUCAAAAAACCGUCCUCAGUUCGGAUUGUAGUCUGCAACUCGACUACAUGAAGCCGGAAUCGCUAGUAAUCGUGGAUCAGCAUGCCACGGUGAAUACGUUCCCGGGCCUUGUACACACCGCCCGUCACACCAUGGAAGUCGGGAGUACCAGAAGUCGCCGAGCUAACCUUCGGGAAGCAGGCGCCCAAGCUGUUGUUGACGACUGGGGUGAAGUCGUAACAAGGUAGCCGUAGGAGAACCUGCGGCUGGAUCACCUCCUUUCU